GUCAAACGAUGAUUUUAAUGAACACACGCGUGGGAGAUGGACACUGAUGCAGACAGCCUCAAAAUCUCAAAAUGGUGGAGCAGUGCUCAAACUUUUAUAGCCUCUGGUGCCUCCACCUUAUCAUACAAAGCCUAAACAUUCACAUGCUUUCUCUCACACAGCGCCUAAGCUACGACCUUGGCUCCCUGUUUAUCUGCUCCUGCUGAAAUGGGGCAGAAAACUCCAGCACACUCUGUUCUCUUCUACUCAGACAAAUUAGAUUUCUUAUAACUCAGCAGUAUAAUGCAUCAUAAAACAAUAUCAUUCAUUCACAACAAGUCAGCAGUUUAAUGUAAUGCAAAUCAGUUUAACUAAUGCAAUAGUUAUCAGCUUCUUCUAAUUCAGGAGAAUAAUGCAAAGUAAAACUACAUAAUAAUUCACAAUCUUUAAUUAGGGGUAUAACAUGGCAUAAAAUAAUAUUAUAAUCUAACAAAACCCAGAAAUGUUUUGAUUCAAGGUUGUUUAUAGGGCAACUUAUAGGUUAUUGUGAUACUCUAGUUCUGGUUAAUUAUCAUAGGUGUCUUGUAAGCCCAUUUGGGAUGGGUAUAAUGUUUUAAGCAUCAUAUAAUAAUAAAAUUUGAUCAGUUAGUGAAUCUAUAAACCUGUUAUGUGUCUAAUUACCAACGAAAGUAUCUUCUAUAGAUGUAUUUUUAAAACCAACCUGGUGUUUUUUCUGGUGGGCCAAACCAGACAAAAUGUGAAAAAAUGAAGGCAAAGAAAAAAUUAUAUAAUAAUUACUUAAAUAGCAAUAUUUUGUAGGUAGUUGAUAAUUUUACUUGCCAAAUGUUAACAUUUAUUCCCAAAAACAUGCCUGCAGACGGUCCUAUUGAUGCAAAUGCUUCACAGCUAUUAGAUUCAAUAAAUUAAAUGAGAACGCAUCAGCCGACAGUCUUUUAUGCGAUGUCAGACAGUCACAGUUAAAGAAAAAGCAUCAGCCAGAGACUUGGUCUAAUCUUUAUAUACAUAAUUAGUCACCAGUUACAAUACACAUAUUUAUAUACUACAGGAACACAGAUAAUACAGGUACUCAGUGUGUGUUUUACAUUUUUUUUUAUUAUUAUUAUAAUUUUUUCUUUACCUAACCUGCAUGUUGAAGAAGUGCCAAUCAUGGGGUUUGUCUUCAAGCCUGGAGGACAAGAAGGGGAGAGGCUCUCACUCUCAGCCCUACUCCCAACUCACCACAUAUCCACUGGUCUACAUUUGAGCAGUGCAUAGGUCUCAGAAGUCCGGACUCCUUUUCUAACGCACACAGAUGGCUUAUACAAGUUUAAACAUCCUGCCUCUUUUAUCCCAGCUCCUUUGUUUUUGUUUUUAUAGAAGAAAGCUUCACAUUCAUUCUUCUAUCUAAUGCUAAAGCUGAUCUGAGACAUAUUAGGACUCAUCUGCAGAUAAAAUGAAUGGGAAACGGACUUCAUGGACUCGCCCAUUAUGCCCUUUCAAGUAUGGCUUAACACAACUGUAUUUUGUUGCAUCCUUCAGCAGAAGACAAACCCACAGAGAGCCUUUAAUGCAAUGUCAUUAUUGCUUACAGAGUAAAAGAAAAAGCUUUUGUGUACAUAGACACAGUGCAGAUUCACAGAGGGCCCUAUAGUUGGACGGUGAUCAUGGGAGAGCAGAGCCGAACCUCUGCUUGCUUUCAUCAUGAGAGCGGGGACACGUCCGACUCGGAGGAACUUAUUAAGAGCAAGCAGAGUGUGAGCGGGUCGGGAGUGUAGGGUUUCUCGAUCUAAGGUGGAGGAUUUACCACAGGGAAUGAUGGCAAAUGCUUUCUUUGCUUUUACAGUGACAACUUCUGUGGUUUUUCAGUAUGAUGGGUAACACUGUAUUCACAUGAAUGCAGCCAGCGGGGAUUCCUGGUCACUGAGAGCUGUCACGGUUUGAAAAACUGAACAACAGGACACCGAAAACUACAACUGCACUGCAAAGCUGGAGUGGGCACAAGUAAAACGAGCUUCAGAGUGUCAGUGUGCACACAGCAGUUUCCUAUAGCAGAGCAGAACUGCCACCAAAUAUCAAAACCUCUUAACAUCAAAGGAGAUCUCGUUCUAAUGAAAAACCAUCAAACUUAAUGUAAUACAAUUUUAUGUUGGAGUAGAUGGUGCAGACUGUGUGUUUGCUGGAUAUUUAGUGUUUCUCUGCUUGAACAGAUAUGGGUUCAGGAUCUAAAAUAAUGCAUCUGAAAUGUAUUCAGGCUGUGAGCGGCUCACUCAAGAGACAGAUAUGUCACCAUAGUCCAAUAUUUCAACCCUAAACCAAAGUAAAACUGUAUUAAACUAAGCAUUAGAGAAAUGAAUGUAAAUAAAAUGAAAUUUUCGAGUCUCUCCUAGGAGUUAUUAAUUGAGAAUUAAUAACUCCUAGGAGAGUUAUUAAUAACUCCUAGGAGAGU
ensembl:lncRNA